GUGAAAGAUGCUGUAUGCUGUAGGCACUGGAAAGUGUUAAACAGUUUAACAGCCUUCCUAACGAUUUUAAACAUUGUCAAAUGUUCCAGCUCACACAGUGCCAUCGUUUUAGUAGCCUGGAAAAUACUGCAAUUUGUUCAAACAUUAGCUGUUAUUUCUGGAUGCUAAUCAGUGCCAUUUACCUUGGAAGCCCGGAAAAUGUGUGGACUGUGCAAGUGCGCCAUCUGCUGGCCCUAGAGAUUCCAACUGGGCCAAUGGGCAAGGAUGCUUCUUGUUCUGUCCAAUGUCCCUGAUACAUGAGCCCAUUAGAGCAUCCACGAGGCCAAAGCUCUUUCCACCACCACAUAUCCUGGUGUUAAAUUAUCAUCAUGAACACAUUGGCUUUUCAAAAGAAAAUCAUUUAUGUAUGUGCGUGUAUGAUAUGAGAAUAGUUAAAUUAUUCUUUCUGCUUAUAUGAUCAUCUAAGGAGAAAAGAUCUCAGAAAUGAAAUGACCCUAAGAAAUCAGCUCUUACAAAUACCUCAUUUUACACAUGAGAAAAGUGAGGUCUCGGAAGCCACACAACUGGCCCAAGGUACUCAGCCAGUAGGGGUGGGACUUGACACCACCACCUCCCCCACACCCCGCCCAGCUCCAGCCUGGGCACUUAGUCCUGCUACCUUGGGGAAGAUGAAGGAGGGCAGAGAUAUGCACCAAAACAAAGCAAACUUCCCACCAGUUUUCUGGGACUCCCAUAUACAUCUUACUGAUAUUGGCACUUGAAGCAUCAUUUGCGAAGGACCAUCACUUCUCAUCUUACAUCCACUUAUCACUUUUUAUAAAAACUUCCACAUACAGUCAUAGCCAAAAGCAGAAGCCCUUUUAAUGGUUUUACUGCACUUAUCAAAAAAGGAAAAGAAUAACAGGUAGGGACACUUUCUCUUUUAAUUGUUUUCACUUCUUGAAAAGACAAGGAUUUAGCAAUUGUGACAGAUAAUCACAAUAUCUCUAUUUAAAAAAAAAAAAAAAAAAAAAAAAAAAAAAAAAAAAAAAAAAAAAAAAAGUCUUAGACCCAUACUACUUAAUUGCCUGGGUUACCUGCCACCGAGCCAGAGCACUCAUUCAAUUUGGGCACAACCUGAAACGCUAGCGCCAUCCGAUAGAGGGCAGUAGUGCACAGACACGCAUAACCACUCUGCUCUGCUCUCCCCUAUCAGGAAAAAAAGUGGCACGUGAAUAUAUUCUUGUAGCUCUGAAACUGUUCUUCUGGAACCAGUCAUUUUCCAGAUGCCGAAAUUCAUCUUAAAAGCCAAUGAUCUGACAAGGACAAAUAUUAUUCAUUAAUUCUUCUUAUGUCCUCUAACUCAUGACUCCAGCUCCAUUUUCUGCCCCCAAGCCUCCCAAAUCAAAGUUCUUUUACACCAGGACAGAGAUGCGCCUUGGAUCCGUCUGAAAACCAGGCUGACGAUUUUCUCGCCACCUAGCAACACACACACACACACACACACACACACACACACACACACAGCACAAUCCCAAAAGUCCCCAACGGGAAUAGCGUCAAGAAUCUUGAAAAUCAUACCUAUUUUUGUUUGCAACGUGUGAAAUUAUUACAAGUAUGUUCACCAAGAGGACUAUUGAUGGAUGACUCACAAUUUAGCUAAAUUCAAUGAACCACACACUGUGCCUAUCCCAGUAGGUGACUCAUGCAUUUUUUAUUUCAAGUAUCAAGUGUUUGCCAAAAACAGUAUUUAAAAAAAGUAAUGAAAAUUGUUCUGAAAGAGCUCAUGAAUAGGGUAGGACUACCCACCGGCAGCCUCAUUUGUGCUCUGACCACUUACAUGGGAUUUGGUGGGUCUGCUCUAGCCGUGCUCGACAGAGAGCGUGACCCACAGCAACGCUGGCAGGCGGAGAGCAGGGUUCUUACUCACAGAGAAUGGUUUUGUGCCUACUGCCCACGUCUCAGGAGAGACUUUGGAUAUUUGGGGGGGUGUCCCAAUAAGGUGUGUGUUAGGGGUCCACCUAUAUGUAUUUUCAAUCUAUUUUGCUAAAAAAUAUUCAAAAUACAUACAUUCAGUUCCUAUUUGUCUUCUAUUGAGCUUUCCUUUUUUUCUCCUACCUCUUUCAUUUAAAAAACUAAUUAUCAGGAAAAAAUGGAGGGAUGAAAGGUCACCCAGAGGAAAUAAUGAAAAUGACUGCUGGUAAAGAACAGUUAAGGGGCAGAGACUUCAUUCUAUGAAUGUUUUCCUGGCACCUGCUAGUAGGCUAUUCCCAAAGCCCUCAGUUAGACCCCCUUUCUCAGCCUGCCUCUCUGACUAGAGGAAAAGUUUGUAGCCCCCACUGACCUAUUGACUGUCUCUCCCCAAAAAUACACUGAAUCUGCUCAUCACCAAAUAAUAAUUCCUGUAAAUCUCAGAAAGGCAUUAUCGCAUAUUAAUCUCCGUGUUUUCACAGCUAUAUAAAGUUUUGAAGUAUUUCAAGGGAAAAGAUUUUAACCCUUACAAAGUUCCAAGUGUUGCCAGUAUUUAUUCUUAAAGAUUAUCAUAUUUUUAAAUUACGAACAAUGCCCAUUUUUCAGGUCAUGUAUUGGCCUUUUUUUCCCUGCUCAUUAUUUCAGGCAAAUAAUAAUGAGGUAUGCACUGUCCACUUUAAGUCCCUAUGUUCCCCCCUCCCCCAACACAUACACACA
rnacentral:lncRNA from 1 species